CAUAAAUGGUGGAUACCUCGGCUCCUAAAUCGAUGAAGACCGUAGCAAACUGCGAUAAGUCACUUGAAUUGCAGACUACUGUGAAAGUCGAACUGUUGAACGCACAUGAUGAUAUUGAUUCUUCACGGAGUUAAAUAUCACACUUGGUUGAGAGUCGCAUCUCAU
rnacentral:rRNA from 1 species